CUAGUUGAAAGGUCAAAUUCUACUAAUCAUUAAACAUGAGAAUUGCCUGAAUAGACUGAAUUGAGUUGAAUAUUGGUUAGCAUUUUAAAAGUUUAGGAUUAGGAUUUAUGACAGUGGCAUAUUUGUUAACCAAACUGUCUUUUGUCAAGGAGUGGAGAAUGUGUGUCAAUUACUUCAGUUUACAGAUUUGAAUAAUGAAGGAUAGACUCGAUAGAGCGUGUGAAACUUUUGUUUUCUAAUUUGAUGAUGUAUUAAGUUUACAGAUUCAAAUAAUGAAGGAUAUACUCGAUAGAGCAUGUGAACUUUUGGUUUUCUAAUUUGGUGAUGUAGAUGUUCCAUGAUGUUGCCUUAGUCCAUAUUCUAUUUUGGAGUGGAUUGCCUACUGCAAAUUUGUUUUUUCGUUUUUUCUAAAUCAAAGAACUAAUUGAAUUGUCUACCGCAAAUUGUUUUGGAGUUUAUAUGGUUGUUUGUAAUAUUUUUGCUUGUGUUUCCUUCUUAAAGAUCCUGGAUCUACAUUAUAUUGAAAUAAAGAAGGUAAAUUGCAUUCCUGUUUAGGUCUAGUUACCUAUAUGACCCCUUAUCUAUAUUCUUUGUAGUUCAUGGCUACAUAUGCAGAAUAGUUUAGAGUCUUAUUUAUUGUAAUACAUAUCAUGUUAUGUAACCGUCUAUCUUUGCUCUUGCAACUGAAAUAUGAUUGACCUUAAAUGAGAGGUAAUUCCCGUGCAUUUUCUGAAUCUUUGUAUGCUUCUGACGGCAGAGCUUUUAGAUUUAUUUUUUUGUUGGCAUGCAAGUGUGAGCUCUGAGAAGUAUUGAGAUCAGGUGUAUUGGUGAGUCUCUUUCUCUCCCUUUUUCCCAAUAGAUGCGCAGGUCCCUUAAUUAGUUUAGGGAAGUUGAAUGUUGAAGUGAUUGAUGAGGAGACGGUAUGAAGACCUUAGUAAAUUGCCCAUUCUCUGCUCCAUGGAACAGUUUAAAUUUAUUCUUAUCUUAUUGAGAUCUGGAUUGUUGCCAUUUUAUGGUUUAUUGGAGCUGUUUUAUUUAACUCGUUAUAAUCGUUUACUAUUAAGUUGAAAAUGAUGCUUUAGCUCUGAGAUAUCACUGUCCUCUCAUUUAAUUGAAAGUACCAACUUAUCUGUAUUUGUCCUUAACUCUUUCAUUUUGAAUGAAAAUGGCACUACUGUUCCAUAUUACCUUGUUGAUGGGAAAUGAACUGCUCAUUUCUCUCAAAUGUGCCUCUAUAAAACUUGAAGCUUUCAACCAGGAUUUGAAAUUACAUAUUUGUUCAUGUAUCAUUUUCUUGAAGAAUGCUAGCUGAUGAAUUUUAUCAUCAAAUUACUUGGUUUGUUGUUCUAUAUGCUGUACUGAAAUAAGUAUCAUUGAUGAGGUUGUAAUUAUUGCCAUUAUGUUUUUUUUGCCCAAAAUAAGAACUUUAUGCUAUUAUUUGGUUGUUAGAACUAGUAAUGGAACUAUGAAUUUUUUUUUAGAUUGAUAUGAUUGGAAUUCAUUGUUGAUGAGCACAUGCUUGACUACUCUCGAGAAAGGCAAUAGGAUUUGCUUCAGAUGGGAGGGAGAGUAUAUUGGAUUCUGUUAUUAUUAGAAUACGUCUUCAUAUUUUUUUUUUGGGCAUUUUUCAUGGAAAGGCUCCUUAAUGCUGCUUCAGUUUGAGAGUUCCUUGGUUUUUCACCAUAUGUUAGAUGUGGUUCUUUUGGGGUAUGUUUGCCCACCUGUUUUCUUCUUCCUUAUUGUCAACUAGUUGCAUUUAUCAAAGAAUUGCUCUGUUUGCACGAGUCAUUUAAUAACUUUUGGCUCGAGAAUAGUUAGAUUCAUAAGAUGAGCUGUAUUCUUUGUUUCCUUCAAAUAUUUUUCUUGUGAUAACAUACUUAACUCAUUUACGAGCAGUUUCUUGUGAUAUCUGAAAUUAAGUAGAUGUUGUCAACUCUUUCUGAUCCAAGUUUUUUAAUCCUUAAUUAAAAUUCUUCUUCUUUUCUCAAAACAAAUUCUUAUGUCCAUCUGCAUGGAUAGGUGGCAAUUUGAUGAUGUUUUGAAUGUUCAUUGCAUAUUUUUUUAUACUGUUGCAGGAUUGCGUAGUGCAAAGUGUUAGUCAUAUCAUAAUCAAAAUAACUUUUUAUUCUCUGUUCCUGCCUUUUUCUAGAAGUAAAAUUUCCGUGAUAAUCAAAUGGAGUGUAAUUUGAGAAAAGAUGUUGCAAAAAUAUGUGGAGUGCUGCUGUUUAUCUAUCAGAUCAUCAAAAUGAGUCAGUUUAAACAAAUAUAGCAGUAUAACUUUGAUCGCUCAGAUUUUGUUUUUAUAAUGAGCCUUUUGUAAUAUAUAUAUAUAUAUUCAGGAAGUACUUUGGAUACUGGCUCUUUAACUAUGCCAACAUGUCGAGGACUGUUAUUUUAAGAGCCUGCUUUUAGACAUGGGAAGUUCUUUUAAAUGUUUUUCUGUAGGUUAUUUAGGUUGUUGGACAGGCACAGUAUGCUCCACAGAAGAUGGGAGAGAUUACUGGUGAUCCAAUCAUGCAACCCUAAUAGAUGUCUCAUUAUCCGCUUUAUAUGCGACUUUCAAUGCCUAGGUCCUAACCCUUCCAAAGUUUGACUGAAAUGCGUUUGAAUUGCUGCAUUUAACUGGAACCAAAUAUGAAAGUCGCCCUUGGUUUAUUCUUAUCCAAUAGGCUGCACUGCAAUUUAGAAGUGACUUUAAAACUCAAAUUACUGAUAUUCCUCUAUUGGACUGUAGCUUUAGGAUAAGAAGACAUAAUAGAACAUUCUGCAUAUUAUAUUUAAUCACCAAAAAGUUGAUAGAAUCAUGCAAAACGCAAUGCUGUAUUUCUUUUUCAGCAUUCCGUUGUUGACGAGCAUGAGCUUUAGAGGAGCAAUGCUUGUCACAACCUCCUCAACAUGAAACUUCUACAUCUUUGGAUUGUCGACAUCAAACAUACACCAUUGUACAGUAGUUAGAAUGGUAAGUGAUUCAAAUCAAAUUUCUUUGGUCAAGGGUGUGCAUUUGCUUAAAGGUAUUGGUACUUAUCUGAAGUUUUGAUGUGAAUUAUCUCUUAGUGGAGAAGUUGAAGUUAUAUAUAUAUGUUUGUGUAUGCCGUACAGUAAUUUACAUUUCUUCAAUAUGCUCAGUUUUAGUAGCUGGAUUUUUGCUUCAAGUAAUUUUUGCACUUGUAAAUUCAGGUUGUGAUUGUGCUUUGGACUGAAAAAUGGGGUUUCCUUAGCUUUUUUUUUUUUGGAUUUCCAAUAGUUUAUAGGUUCUAAAGGAUGCGAAAAAGAUUGAACUGCAAUCUGUUUAUUUUGUUAACCUCUAUUUCCCUAAUGAGUAUUUUAGUUUUGUGUUUCUGCACUGGAAUUUGGUUCUCAGAGUACAAGACAUCUUUUUGUCAUGAUAUUUAACUUAGAUUUUGUAUUGCUUCACUUUGGUUCAAUGGUUCAGGUGUAGAUGAAGGGCACAUGCUCCAUGUUCCGACUCAGAUGUUCUGAAGAAGUUAGGGUGAAUUGAAGAGUUGGUUAAUAAGGGAUAUCACACAUUUUAGAGGUGUUAGUUAUUAAGAAUUUCCAAGAGUCCUCCAAGUUUAUAAUUAUUCUAGCGAGUUUUAUUAUGUGACUGAUAAGCCGGCAAGGGUAAUGGUAGAUGUGAAUAUUAAAUCUAUCAAUUUGUAUCAUUAUAUAGCUUUCAAGUCUGGAGAUCCGAGUUUUGGGGAUUUAUGAGAUUAGGGAAGUCAAGCGCUGGUGUUUGUCCAGAUAACUGCGAGUGGAACUCUGAUGAUUAGCAAGCUACAUAAUCUUUUCUAGACUCUGCCUCUUUAACUUGUUAGCAAUAUAUGAUAGUUUCUCAGCUGUGGAUGCUAGCAUCAGGUGACACUUAAACGACUGUCUAUCACUAAGACUCAAGUUUGGGAUAUUAACUGUGAACUUUUGAAGUGGAAUUGGCAGCCAAAUGGAAAUUUCAAUCUCUACUGAUACUGGCUCCUCAGGAGGUCUCAGCAAUAGAUGGUUUUUAUGUUGAUAUUUUUUAGAAAAAUUGAAAAACUAGUCAAAUAGAAGAAAUUGCUGAGCCUGGCUUUUUGAAGGUAUGGUUGUUACCUUCCCUGCUCUAUUUGAAAAAUAGCUUUUGGCCUGGGUUUACCCUCUCUAGUAGUGGUUCCUAAAGAGGAAAAGCUAUAAUAGCUGCUGUUGGCUUCUCGUGGGAAAUUGAGCGCCUUAGGUUUGCUUUGGAUUUAUAUGGUAUAGGUAAGCUGUAGCUCCAAGGUGUUUGGCCUUGUUAUAUUUUGCUGCUAUCCACUUUAAUACAUCGUAAGGUAAUUACUCUCUGGUAUAUAAGAUUUUUGAGUUUUUUUAUUUAAAAAUUGAGCUCUAACUUCUUCUGCUUGGUUCAGGUACUUUAGACUUUAGAGUAUGUGUUUUCUUCAUUUAUACCAUCUUUCAGUUAGCAAGUGCUUUUUGGAUUUAUUAUUUAACUAUUGUUUAGUAGUGGUGAUUGAUCUUACUUUGCCUAUUGUCAUUUAGACAACUGGCCCGGCCAAUUGUACGAUUUUGUCUCAGCUAAUUACAUUAUGGGCUUGUCAGUCUGAUCUCUUCUGAGUCAAAACUGAUUGGUUUUGUCUAUUAUUUUAUGCUUGCUUGCGAUCAUCAUUAUCUUCUUCCUCGUGUUCUUGAGUUCGUGCUGUGAGCAUCGAUCAACCCUUUUGUCAUGGAUUUCUAUGGGACUAGGUGUAGUAAUUCUUGAAGAAUUGUAAGAAAUAGGUAAUCUUGGUUUGGAUGACUGAUCACAAUUUCAAAAACAUAAUUGCUUUUUUAAUUUUCACUUUCAAGAUGAAGGUAGAAAUGGGGACUUUGGACUUCAUAUGCAUAAUGGGUUCUGUAUACGGUAAAGUAGGUGUUCAAUAAGUACUUGCUCAAUUUGUGCCCAUUUCAUAUUAAGGUCUAAUUUUAGAAAAACAUGGAUCAUUUCUUAUGGCUGCCAAAAUGAUUUAUGUCAGUGGUUUUGCUGACAAUUGACAGGGCAUGCUUCUUAUUGCUGAUAUCUACAUGUACUUUCAAAUUUCAAUUGUUGAAAGAGAUGGUAUGGGCUCUGUGUUUAUUCCUUGAUGGUUAUUAUACUAGAAUCAUGUUGCAUGGUGUUUGAAACUUGAAAGAUUAUAGCUGUGGGCAUAUGAACUUCCUUCCUGUUUUUUCAGUUGAAGUAUCACGAAUUUGUGGACAUUUAUUAAAGGAAAGAAAGCAUCGAUAAAGGGUUAAUUAUGAAAUUUGCAGGAAAGAAACCAAAAUGACAGUUCUCUUCUAUCUUAAACAAUCAUGAUAAGCAGAUGGCUUUCACGAGAGCAAUGCUAGUUACAAUUCUAAAUACACCAAUGAGGAUACAGUUUCUGGUGGUGGUGGUACGUCUUAAAGACCAGAACAAUAUAUAUAUUUGAAGUCCAUUUAUGGUACAAUUGGAGUCCUAAAGAUGAUGUUCCACCAAGGUUUGAGACUUGUGAGCAGGCAGAGGAGUAAAGCCAGUAGUCUCAGUUGUGGCACAAAGAAUGAAGUCAUUAAGGUUAUAAGAAUCUUAUCCUGCAGCCAUACAUAUGCCUCGUAUUGGUGGAAGAUUUGCGAGCUUCGGCAAUUGCAGGGAAUUCAAUUGCAUGAAUGAGACAGGAAAGCAAGGGGACAGGUGCUGGUGGGUCAAACACUUGGCAGUCCAGUUACGGGUGUAGCUGACAUAUGGUCCUAUUCGGUGCUGAAUCUGGUUAGUGGUGUGGACCUUCACUUGGGAAUCCAUUUUAAUUGCUAGGCCACUGGCUUGAUAUCUUAGGUUCAUUUUCUUUGGCAAUCAGACAAGAACUACUUAUAGAUGAGAGGAAAGGGUGUAAUUGAUUCAAAUUACAGGAGUUUUUGGGACCUCUUAUUAAAGAGAAGGGUCCUCCUAUUUGUUUGUCAUUUUCCUUCAAAUCCCUUUUAUCCUUUAAUAUAUCCUCUCGCCUUAAUUGA